rnacentral:rRNA from 1 species
GCAAGUCGAGCGGUAACAGAAUGAUAGCUUGCUAUCAAUGCUGACGAGCGGCGGACGGGUGAGUAAUGCCUGGGAAUAUGCCCUGAUGUGGGGGAUAACUAUUGGAAACGAUAGCUAAUACCGCAUAAUCUCUUCGGAGCAAAGAGGGGGACCUUCGGGCCUCUCGCGUCAGGAUUAGCCCAGGUGGGAUUAGCUUGUUGGUGGGGUAAUGGCUCACCAAGGCAACGAUCCCUAGCUGGUCUGAGAGGAUGAUCAGCCACACUGGAACUGAGACACGGUCCAGACUCCUACGGGAGGCAGCAGUGGGGAAUAUUGCACAAUGGGGGAAACCCUGAUGCAGCCAUGCCGCGUGUAUGAAGAAGGCCUUCGGGUUGUAAAGUACUUUCAGUUGUGAGGAAGGCGUUGAUGUUAAUAGCUUCAGCGUUUGACGUUAGCAACAGAAGAAGCACCGGCUAACUCCGUGCCAGCAGCCGCGGUAAUACGGAGGGUGCGAGCGUUAAUCGGAAUUACUGGGCGUAAAGCGCAUGCAGGU